CGCAGAUCCAUGCCCUCUCUGCAGGGAUGUAUUUGUUCAACGCUAACAGUGUCACGCACAGGCUCAGGAUGUUAAAUGCUGCCUGAGCAGCACACGGCUCUUUCCAUCCACAAAAGCUUCCCUGGCAGCACAGAGAGGCUGUGUGCCCCCGGGUGCUGAUCUUCUACUUCAGACGAACAGCGAGAUGGCAAACUGGGUGUUCGGAAGCUGUGAUUUCUGUCAGCCGGGACCAGCAGCUGAACUUGGAUACAUGAAAAAGUUAUUCUGAGAGAGGUGCACAACAGAUUCCUAUCAGCGCCACCUAUGUAUGGCCAAAACCACAAGGAAUGCAUCCAGCCAUGGAGAAACGGCCUCUCA
rnacentral:lncRNA from 12 species